GAUGAACGCUGGCGGCGUGCCUAAUACAUGCAAGUCGAGCGAACAGACGAGGAGCUUGCUCCUCUGACGUUAGCGGCGGACGGGUGAGUAACACGUGGAUAACCUACCUAUAAGACUGGGAUAACUUCGGGAAACCGGAGCUAAUACCGGAUAAUAUAUUGAACCGCAUGGUUCAAUAGUUAAAGACGGUUUUGCUGUCACUUAUAGCUGGAUCCGCGCCGCAUUAGCUAGUUGGUAAGGUAACGGCUUACCAAGGCAACGAUGCGUAGCCGACCUGAGAGGGUGAUCGGCCACACUGGAACUGAGACACGGUCCAGACUCCUACGGGAGGCAGCAGUAGGGAAUCUUCCGCAAUGGGCGAAAGCUUGACGGAGCAACGCCGCGUGAGUGAUGAAGGUCUUCGGAUCGUAAAACUCUGUUAUUAGGGAAGAACAAAUGUGUAAGUAACUAUGCACGUCUUGACGGUACCUAAUCAGAAAGCCACGGCUAACUACGUG
rnacentral:rRNA from 1 species